GGGAAGGUGGCUCAGUGGUAGAGUGCUUGCCUAGCAUGCAUGAGGCCUUGGGUUUGAUUCCUCAGCACCUCA
rfam:Dipodomys ordii contig_23686, whole genome shotgun sequence.